rnacentral:rRNA from 1 species
UACGAAGGGGGCUAGCGUUGCUCGGAAUUACUGGGCGUAAAGGGCGCGUAGGCGGAUACUUAAGUCGGGGGUGAAAGCCCGGGGCUCAACCUCGGAAUUGCCUUCGAUACUGGGUAUCUUGAGUUCGGGAGAGGUGAGUGGAAUGCCGAGUGUAGAGGUGAAAUUCGUAGAUAUUCGGCGGAACACCAGUGGCGAAGGCGACUUCCUGGCCUGUUCUUGACGCUGAGGCGCGAAAGCUAGGGUAGCAAACGGG